rnacentral:lncRNA from 1 species
GGGCAUUUCUUAUGGUACGUGAACUGUGGCCCUCCGGUCAUCUCUGAACUUUUCCUUCUAAUUACCACCAUGCAGAUGUGAACCCUGCUGCUAUUCAGGGAACCCGUCUAGACUUUCUUGUUUGUCGUCAUUAAAAAGGAAGAUGAUUUAGGAAGAAACGAGUCUUGCUUUUCUGGAGACGCAGGCUGUAGGACUAAUUGGCGGUGUUCUCUGGCUCAUGGCGAGGCCAGCCUCUGCCCACGUUAAAUUUGGUUAGUUAGGACUCUUACUUUGUUUCCUGGGUUUUGGUUUUAAAUGAUCCCGUUUAAGAGAUCAUUUUUGGUUCAUAUUCAGUUUUAAGCACUAAUACAGUCAGACAUGUCUUCUCUCCGACACCCUCUAAGGGCAAUUCUACAAAACUAAGGACAACAUCCCAACCAGGACGCUGACGUGGUCAAGAGACGGAACCCACAGCGACCCUCCUCUUUUGCUCUUGGAGCUGUCUCCAGUUAAAGUGUCUUUGUGAGAACUCAACCUGAAGGGAGCUCAAGCAAGAAGAGAAAAGAGUGUCUUAGAAGAUGCAGAGUGGCAGAAUCCGUGCGAUGACCAGGACGGUCAGUGGCCCCCCUCAGAGGCAGGAAGGCCGUCCUCUGAGAGAAGCAGAGAGGUGACCAUCUCCCAUCUUCUGGUGAGGACGUCUCAGUAUUGGCUGCACUUUAUACCCGACCUGGGCCUCGCCCCGU